rnacentral:lncRNA from 1 species
CUUGGUCAAAAAGGUGAUGGUUUAUGAUCGUGCAACUAAUAAAUCCUUUACAUCCCGAGAUGUUGUGUUUCCUGAGCAUAUCUUUCCGUUUCAUAAUAAUCCACCAGAAGAACAAGAAGAUGAGGUUGUCUUCCCCUUACCACACACUUUAUAACCGGCAACGAUGAUGGUGAAAUUAUUGUUCUUAAGAAAUUUCUCCAUACCAAAUUUUACAUCAAGGACCUUGGCCAAUUGCAAUAUUUUCUUGGUGUUGAAUUUGCUUGUUCUACUAGUGGCAUUUGCAUUUCACAACGAAAGUACACACUUGACAUUUUAGAUGAAGCAUGAUUGCUUGGGACCAAACCGUUAUCGGCGCCUAUGGAAGAAAACCUUAAGCUUCUACCAACAGUGGGAAAACUAUUGAAAAAUCCAUCCACUUAUAGAAGAUUGGUGGGUCGACUUAUUUAUCUUACUAUUACAAAGCUAGAGAUAACUUAUUCAUUUCACAUUCUAAGCCAGUUUAUGCAAGAGCCAAGAAAAGCUCAUUUAGAUGUUGUUCAUCACCUUUUGAGAUACCUUAAAGUUGCACCUGGGCAAGGAUUGUACUUUCCAGCCAAAGGAAAUUUGCUACUAAAGGGAUUUAGUAAUGCAGAUUGGGCACGAUGUUCAAUCACAAGACGGUCUAUUACUGGUUAUCUCAGAAGAAAGAUUAUUUCAUGGAAGACUAAGAAACAAAUGACAGUAUUAAGAUCUUCAGCUGAGUCAGAAUAUCGAGCUAUGGCCUCGAUUACAUGUGAGAUAAGAUGGUUCAAUUACUUAUUGGAUGACUUGUAGGUGAAGCAUUCACAACCAAUCAAAUUGUUUUGCAAUAGUAAAGUAGCACUCCACAUUGUCGCAGAUCUAAUUUAUCAAGAGCGUACCUAGUACAUGAGAUCGAUUACCAUGUUGUUCAGGGACAAAUUCAGUCAUGAGCUAUAUUAACUGCAUAUGUUCCAUCAGCUUGUUGACUUGUUCACCAAGCUACUCAAUUAAUCAGUUUUUCAUUUUCUUCUCAGAAAGUUUGGCUUCCUUAACAUACACGCUCCAACUUGAGGGAGAGUAUUACAGGAAAGAUGAGACCUAUUAAUUAUAAGAUUGUAUACACGUCUUCGUUUUUUGAUUGAUUGUAAUUUACAAGUUUCCUAGAAUAGGAUAGCUGAUGUACUAUGUGUGUG